rnacentral:pre_miRNA from 1 species
UUAAUACUCCCUCCGUCCGAAAAUACUUUUCCUAGAAAUGGAUGUAUCUAGACUUAUUUAGUUAUAGAUACAUCCAACUUAUCCAUUUUGAGAAUAAAUAUUUCCGGACGGAGGGAGUACCUA